rnacentral:tRNA from 1 species
GGAGGGUAUAGCUCAGUGGGAGAGCGUGUGCUUAGCAUGCACGAGGUCCUGGGUUCAAUUCCCAGUACCUCCA